CUUCAGCUAUGGGUUACUACUGAUGCAGGAUCUUUUCCUGGUGCACCUCUCUUUUGUCUCUGCCCCUUCCUCCUGUCAAGAGCAAAAUGUCUUUCUCUGUGCUUAGUAGAGGUGCUGUGCAACACUGAAGAGCGGCAUCCUGAGAACUUGCCCCGCUGAAGGCCUGGGAGGCUCCUGGAGCAGGGGGCUGUCAGUCACAGCGCAGCCGUGACUCAGCAGGGCUGCACAUCCCGGCACUGCAAAGCCAAGGCUUGCAGCCCUCACGCUGCACAAGGCCUGGGACAGCAGGUGAGAAGCAGCAUCCCAGCUCCACGGUCCCAAGGAUGAGGCAGGGUGUUGACCAGGACAGGGAGAUGCAGAUGGGGGGCAGCUCUUCCCCUUUUUGCCUAUUUGCCCGUGGCAAAU
rnacentral:lncRNA from 1 species